CCAAAAACAUAGCCCUUAUAUAAAUUAAAGGUGUAACCUGCCCAAUGAUCAUUAAUUAAAAAAUUAUAAAAAUAUUUUAAUAUGAUUUAAAGGACGCGGUAUCCUGACCGUGAUAAUGUAGCAUAAUCAUUCGCCAUUUAAUUGAUGGAUAGUAUGAAUGGUCAAACGAGUAUAACACUGUCUCUAAUAAAAUAUUUAUGAAAUUGAAAUAAUAGUAAAGAUACUAUUUAAAAUUAUAAGACGAAAAGACCCUAUAGAGCUUAACUAUAAUUUUUCAUUAUAAUAAUUAAAUUUAUUUAAUUAAACUGAAAAAUUGGUAGUUUAGUUGGGGCGACUAUCUUUUAAAAUUAACAAAGAUAAGCAAAAUUAAUAAAAUAAUUUAUUGUAUAAUUAAUAAAUUUAACAAUUAUAAACAUAGGCUAUAAUGACCCGUUAUCAUUUCAAAAUUUAAGUUAACGAUUAUUAAAUAAAAGCUACCUUAGGGAUAACAGGAUAAUUUUAUUUUAGAGUUCUUAUCGAAAAUAAAGUUUGUCACCUCUAUGUUGAAUUAAGAUAUCCUAAUAAUGCAGAAGUUAUUAAAGGUAGGUCUGUUCGACCUUUAAAAUCUUACAUGAUUUGAGU
rnacentral:rRNA from 1 species